CAGAGGGUGCGAGCGUUAAUCGGAAUUACUGGGCGUAAAGAGCACGUAGGUGGUUAUAUAAGUCGUUAGUGAAAUGCCUGAGCUUAACUUAGGCCUGUCUGGCGAAACUGUAUAGCUUGAGUUCUGUAGAGGGUAGUGGAAUUCCUGGUGUAGCGGUGAAAUGCGUAGAUAUCAGGAGGAACACCCGUGGCGAAGGCGGCUACCUGGACAGAAACUGACACUGAGGUGCGGAAGCGUGGGUAGCGAACAGGAUUAGAUACCCUGGUAGUCCACGCCGUAAAUGGUGUCAACUAGCUGUUGGUGCUUUUGAAGCGCCAGUAGCGUAGCUAACGCGCUAAGUUGACCGCCUGGGGAGUACGGCCGCAAGGUUA
rnacentral:rRNA from 1 species